rnacentral:rRNA from 1 species
AAAUUGAAGAGUUUGAUCAUGGCUCAGAUUGAACGCUGGCGGCAGGCCUAACACAUGCAAGUCGAGCGGAAACGACACUAACAAUCCUUCGGGUGCGUUAAUGGGCGUCGAGCGGCGGACGGGUGAGUAAUGCCUAGGAAAUUGCCUUGAUGUGGGGGAUAACCAUUGGAAACGAUGGCUAAUACCGCAUAAUGCCUACGGGCCAAAGAGGGGGAUCUUCGGACCUCUCGCGUCAAGAUAUGCCUAGGUGGGAUUAGCUAGUUGGUGAGGUAAUGGCUCACCAAGGCGACGAUCCCUAGC